GAUGAACGCUAGCGGGAGGCCUAACACAUGCAAGCCGAGCGGUAGAGAUUCUUCGGGAUUUUGAGAGCGGCGUACGGUGCGGAACACGUGUGCAACCUACCUUUAUCUGGAGGAUAGCCUUUCGAAGGAAGAUUAAUACUCCAUAAUAUAUUGAUUGGCAUCGAUUGAUAUUGAAAGCUCCGGCGGAUAGAGAUGGGCACGCGCAAGAUUAGCUAGUUGGUGAGGUAACGGCUCACCAAGGCGAUGAUCUUUAGGGGCCUGAGAGGGUGAUCCCCACACUGGUACUGAGACACGGACCAGACUCCUACGGGAGGCAGCAGUGAGGAAUAUUGGUCAAUGGGUGCAAGCCUGAACCAGCCAUCCCGCGUGAAGGACGACUGCCCUAUGGGUUGUAAACUUCUUUUGUAUAGGGAUAAACCUACCCUCGUGAGGGUAGCUGAAGGUACUAUACGAAUAAGCACCGGCUAACUCCGUGCCAGCAGCCGCGGUAA
rnacentral:rRNA from 1 species